AUUGAACGCUGGCGGCAUGCCUUACACAUGCAAGUCGAACGGUAACAGAUCUUCGGAUGCUGACGAGUGGCGAACGGGUGAGUAAUACAUCGGAACGUGCCUAGUAGUGGGGGAUAACUACUAGAAAGAGUGGCUAAUACCGCAUGAGAUCUACGGAUGAAAGCAGGGGAUCGCAAGACCUUGUGCUACUAGAGCGGCCGAUGGCAGAUUAGGUAGUUGGUGGGAUAAAAGCUUACCAAGCCGACGAUCUGUAGCUGGUCAGAGAGGACGAUCGGCCACACUGGGACUGGGACACGGCCCAGACUCCUACGUGAGUCAGCAGUGGGGAAUUUUGGACAAUGGGCGCAAGCCUGAUCCAGCAAUGCCGCGUGCAGGAUGAAGGCCUUCGGGUUGUAAACUGCUUUUGUACGGAACGAAAAGCCCUGGGUUAAUAGCUUGGGGUCAUGACGUUACCGUAAGAAUAAGCACCGGCUAACUACGUGCCAGCCGCCGCCGUAAUAC
rnacentral:rRNA from 1 species